GCUCUGGUCCAAAGUUGGCACAGGAGAGCUCCUAGGCCCAGACUGCCGGAAAUUCACGGGCUGACAUCACCAAUGCACAAAACCAUCUAAGGUUCACAGUGGACCAACAAGAUAUACCUGAGUCUCUGACAUUACAACUCCAGUACCCGCCACUGUGUCAGUCUAGAAUUUCCUUUUGUUUUCCAUUCUGCCGUUCCACUUAUUAAAAUUUCUCUGCAGAAUUUUCAA